UAGGGAAUCUUCCACAAUGGACGAAAGUCUGAUGGAGCAACGCCGCGUGAGUGAUGAAGGGUUUCGGCUCGUAAAACUCUGUUGUUGGAGAAGAACGGGUGUCAGAGUAACUGUUGACAUCGUGACGGUAUCCAACCAGAAAGCCACGGCUAACUACGGGCCAGCAGCCGCGGUAAUACGUAGGUGGCAAGCGUUGUCCGGAUUUAUUGGGCGUAAAAGCGAGCGCAGGCGGUUUUUUAGGUCUGAUGUGAAAGCCUUCGGCUUAACCGGAGAAGUGCAUCGGAAACCGGGAGACUUGAGUGCAGAAGAGGACAGUGGAACUCCAUGUGUAGCGGUGAAAUGCGUAGAUAUAUGGAAGAACACCAGUGGCGAAGGCGGCUGUCUGGUCUGCAAACUGACGCUGAGGCUCGAAAAGCAUGGGUAGCGAACAGGAUUAGAUACCCUGGUAGUCCAUGCCGUAAACGAUGAGUGCUAAGUGUUGGGGGGUUUGCCGCCCUUCAGUGCUGCAGCUAACGC
rnacentral:rRNA from 1 species